UACAGAGGUCCCAAGCGUUGUUCGGAUUCAUUGGGCGUAAAGAGCGUGUAGGCGGUUAGGUAGGUCAGUUGUGAAAACUGGAGGCUCAACCUUCAGACGUCGACUGAAACCCCCUGGCUGGAGUCCGGGAGAGGAGAGUGGAAUUCCUGGUGUAGCGGUGGAAUGCGCAGAUAUCAGGAAGAACACCCGUGGCGAAAGCGGCUCUCUGGAACGGUACUGACGCUGAGACGCGAAAGCGUGGGGAGCGAACAGG
rnacentral:rRNA from 1 species